rnacentral:rRNA from 1 species
UACGUAGGGGGCAAGCGUUGUCCGGAAUCAUUGGGCGUAAAGCGCGUGUAGGCGGGUUGCCAAGUCCGCUGUGAAAGCCCGAGGCUCAACCUCGGAGGGUCGGUGGAUACUGGCAGUCUUGAAGUGGCUAGGGGGAGAUGGAAUUACCGGUGUAGCGGUGAAAUGCGUAGAGAUCGGUAGGAACACCAGUGGCGAAGGCGGCUAACUGGUCCAGCACUGACGCUGAGGUGCGAAAGCGUGGGGAGCAAACAGG